GCUGGGUGUGGUGGCGCAUACCUGUAAUCCCAGCUACUAGGGAGGCUGAGGCACAAGAAUUGCUUGAACCCAGGAGGCGGAGGUUGCAGUGAGCCGAUAUCAUGCCACUGCCCUCCAGCCUGGGUGACAGAGUGAGACCUUGUCUCAA
rnacentral:SRP_RNA from 1 species